ACGGAAGGCAGCAGUGGGGAAUAUUGGUCAAUGGGGGAAACCCUGAACCAGCAACGCCGCGUGAAGGAUGAAGGUUUUCGGAUUGUAAACUUCUUUGACGAGGAACGAUAAUGACGGUACCUCGAAAACAAGCCACGGCUAACUACGUGCCAGCAGCCGCGGUAAUACGUAGGUGGCGAGCGUUGUCCGGAUUUACUGGGUGUAAGGGCGUGUAGGCGGAAUGGCAAGUCAGAUGUGAAAACCCGCGGCUUAACUGCGGGACUGCAUUUGAAACUGUUGUUCUUGAGUGCUGGAGAGGAAAGCGGAAUUCCCGGUGUAGCGGUGGAAUGCGUAGAUAUCGGGAAGAACACCAGUGGCGAAGGCGGCUUUCUGGACAGUAACUGACGCUGAGGCGCGAAAGCGUGGGGAGCAAACAGGAUUAGAUACCCUGGUA
rnacentral:rRNA from 1 species